CUCGAGGCCAGAUCUUUCCGGUUGAUCCUGCCGGACCUGACUGCUAUCGGAUUGAUAUUAAGCCAUGCGAGUCUUUGUAGCAAUACAAGGCAGACGGCUCAGUAACACGUAGUCAAUCUACCCUAUGGACGGGGAUAACCUCGGGAAACUGAGAAUAAUACCUGAUAGAUCAUUAUGCCUGGAAUGGUUUAUGGUCGAAAUGAUUUAUCGCCGUAGGAUGGGACUGCGGUCUAUCAGCUUGUUGGUGAGGUAAUGGCCCACCAAGGCUAUAACAGAUACGGGCUCUGAGAGGAGAGGCCCGGAGAUGGGUACUGAGACACGGACCCAGGCCCUAUGGGGCGCAGCAGGCGAGAAAACUUUGCAAUGUGCGAAAGCACGACAAGGUUAAUCCGAGUGUUUUCUGCUAAAGAAAUCUUUUGUCAGUCCUAAAAACACUGAUGAAUAAGGGGUGGGCAAGUUCUGGUGUCAGCCGCCGCGGUAAAACCAGCACCUCAAGUGGUCAGGAGGAUUAUUGGGCCUAAAGCAUCCGUAGCCGGCCGUGUAAGUUUUCGGUUAAA
rnacentral:rRNA from 1 species